rnacentral:lncRNA from 1 species
UAUCACUCAAUGCCUUGGUGAAUGUGGAGUUAGCUGCCAGGGCUGUCUCCGGUAUUCUCAAGCUAGGAAAAAUUGGGCAGUUGUCGCUCUUCACAUUGGCUCCCUGACAAUUCCUGCGGCAGGGAUCAUCACAGCAGUGCCUGAAUGGAGAAACCAGGCAGACUGAGUUUGAACAGGACACUGGAACAAGGGAGCCUAGUGCUGAUGCCAGAAGGUGUAAAACCAGAGGAGCUGAGAGGAGUGAUGCGCAGCAGGAGAGAAGAGAUGCUUUUGUAGUGGCAGCACUGGCAGAGUGAAGCUGACUCAGUGGGUGGAAGGAGCUGGAGAGGAAAUCUGGAUGUCUCAGUGCACUCUUAUGCUCCAAAGGCAGCCCAAAGCAGAGCAACCAGGACAUCGCCAUUACUUGGCAGGUGCCACUUCUGCUCACACUUGUCCAUGUGGGAAAAAAUCUCUGGAUCCUAUUUCUGAAAUCAGCUGAGAAGUCUUGAUGAUUCUGGCAGAUUGCUGUGUUUCAAAGAGUGAUUAUUCAACCCUACUCAGCCUCAGGAAAAGCAGCUGCGAUAUCCAAACAAACUGAAAUGUGAUAUACCAAACAAAAGGGUACUAAGCAGAGCAACAAGCUCUGCUGUGCACUUGUCCCAGCCCAGAUGAUGGGAGCGCGCAUCCCCAGCGAGCACGGCUGUGGGUCGUUCAUGGCUCAGCUUGCUCUCCUGCCACAUGCGAAGCGUUCCAGCUCACUUCCCGGGUCUGUUUCGCCGAGCUGGAGCUGAGACCGGUAGGUCUAGGUGGUACAGUGGAGGAGUUGUGUACGUCCCGUGGGCCACUCUGUACACAGGGAUGUGAUUGCUGACAGAGUAUGUCUUCUGUUUCUCUGUAAAAUGAGCUAAAGACAGUGUUGGGCAUCCACCACCAGCAUUUGUUCAAUGAGCUUUUUGCAGUCCACAGGGGAACAUGAAAAAAUUUGGGUGGAGGGGAAUAAACAGGGGAUUGCAAGAUAUCA